rnacentral:rRNA from 2 species
UAGGGAAUCUUCGGCAAUGGACGAAAGUCUGACCGAGCAACGCCGCGUGAGUGAAGAAGGUUUUCGGAUCGUAAAACUCUGUUGUUAGAGAAGAACAAGGACGUUAGUAACUGAACGUCCCCUGACGGUAUCUAACCAGAAAGCCACGGCUAACUACGUGCCAGCAGCUGCGGUAAUACGUAGGUGGCAAGCGUUGUCCGGAUUUAUUGGGCGUAAAGCGAGCGCAGGCGGUUUCUUAAGUCUGAUGUGAAAGCCCCCGGCUCAACCGGGGAGGGUCAUUGGAAACUGGGAGACUUGAGUGCAGAAGAGGAGAGUGGAAUUCCAUGUGUAGCGGUGAAAUGCGUAGAUAUAUGGAGGAACACCAGUGGCGAAGGCGGCUCUCUGGUCUGUAACUGACGCUGAGGCUCGAAAGCGUGGGGAGCAAACAGG